ACCUGUAGAGGAAUGAACGGUGGUCACAAUGGUGAAAAAAUUACAUCGAACGGGAAUCAAGAAGGGCCUCGUCGGAGGCAAAAAUUGAGAAAAUCCGCGGCAGCGCCGCUGGGAUUCAGCGGCAUUUUUCGGCCAAUUGGCCGGUGCUUUGGCUCCGAUUUGGCCACAGGUGGGUUUAGAAUCGAAUUCCGAGCUAAGGGGAGAAUUUUUACCUCGUUUGGUGGCCGAAAAGUGCUCCAGUGCGGCAGCGGGUGGCGGCAGUUAGUUCUCCGGUGGCUGGGCUGUCUUUUCCAGCGAGGGCUCUGGCGACUAGGGUUAGGGUUUGGAUGUGAUGAGAUUAUUUAUAACCUUCCGCUUUUAAUCUGAGCCGUCCAUCGUGAU
rnacentral:lncRNA from 1 species